CAACUUCCUCUUGGAGGAGGAGCACAAAAAAAUGCAGCGAAGAAGAAGAAUAAGAAGAGGAAGCGGCAAAGAAGAAGAAGAAGAAGUAUAAACAAGAUAGCAAGCGCGUUUAACAUGGCGCUAAGACAGUUUCUUUUAGAUUGUGAUAGGGCAUUCCGGGAGUGCGUCCGACUAGCUCAAACAGAUGAUCAGGAUGCUGUUGAAGCAGUAAUUACGAGCUUUCCUUCGUUAUCGAGCUCCACGUGUUCGGGAACAUAGAGGGCGUCCGCGAUGCCACAUUACCCAAGAACAAUUGCAGUUUUUAUUGUCCCUAAAUUUCAAAAUACCUCAAAUGGCAGACAUACUAGGUGCUUCAAGGCGGACUGUGAAGCGGCACCUAAGAUCAUUCAAUCUAUCUCUGCGUGGACGUUUCUCAAACAUGUCUGAUGUGGAGCUGGAUGAAAGAGUCCUUCAAGUAGUAUCUGGCAAUGAUUUGCUUGGUCCAGAGUCUCUAAGAGCACGACUUUAU